UACAGAGGGUGCGAGCGUUAAUCGGAAUUACUGGGCGUAAAGCGCGCGUAGGCGGCUUUGUAAGUCGGUUGUGAAAUCCCCGGGCUUAACCUGGGAACUGCAUCCGAGACUGCAUGGCUAGAGUAUGGGAGAGGGAAGUGGAAUUUCAGGUGUAGCGGUGAAAUGCGUAGAUAUCUGAAGGAACAUCAGUGGCGAAAGCGACUUCCUGGACCAAUACUGACGCUCAUGUGCGAAAGCGUGGGGAGCAAACGGG
rnacentral:rRNA from 1 species